UUCUCUCUCUUCAUCUUUAUAUGUCUCUCUGUCCACAGUAUCAAUCAUUUCUGCCUAAAGCUUUCUUCUCGAUACUUCUCCUUUUAUCUGGAAACCGCGAUUACGCAUCGAGAUCUACGUAUCGCCAUCGCCAUCGCCAACAGCAGCUGAUUCUCUUUUCCUUUCUUUUUCGCAGCUUCAAAGCCGAUUAUGCAAGGGUAUGAGGUUUUUGAAGCCAAAGUCUACUGUUCCAGAAUCUAUCAGUUCUAGGUAUUGUUCCUUCCUUGAUUCCAAGCUAGCAUAUAAUUAUUGAAGCUAUGUUGACUGUUUCCACUAUACAUAAGUGAAGUGAUAUGCUGAUUUGGAAAUGAGGUCGAUACCACCUGACACUCGGUCUUAGUGACACAAGCUAGAAGAAAGGACCCCAUAUACUUCAUGUCAUGAAAAGCAUCCAUACGUUGCAGAGUGUAUAAUUAAGAAAUGAAAUUCAUGAUUUUGGAGGUCUCUGAUGUUCAUUCCAGCAAGUUCCUCUCCCAAAAACUUCCUGCAACCACAACAGAAGUGGCAACUCAUUCAGAUGAAAGAAGAGAGGAAACCACUGUUUCAUGUGGAUCAUGGUGAAUUGUGAUGUCUGCAGCUAGGAACGGUCUUUCAAUGGUGUAGGGGGAAGAAGUAGAAGCCUAGACACUCAAUAUGGUAAAGCUUCUUCUGGAUGGGGGUAGUAACAUCUGAAGAGGUUCAUUCAUUAAUCAUGAGAAUGUGCUUCUAAUGCUUGAAUAGGGCAAUAACUGCAGGUAAGCAGGUGUGUUGAUUGUAAGUCUGUAGAAGGCGAAACUGAUGACUAGCUUCGGUGAUGCAGUUUCAGAUUCUCAGUAUAUCUAAUUACUGCCAGGUUUCAGACUUUCAGGUCAGAUUCUCAUAAUAUGAUUUCCUUCCUCGAACUCGAGAUCACCAUGUUUGCUUAAUAUGAAUGACCUAGCUCUUUAGAAGCAGCCACAUUCAGAAAUAGCACACUUAAUUAUAAUAUCUCCCACUCUAAAUUAUAAUAUAUCUACCACUUUAGAUUGGCCAUGUAGUAGUGGAGUUUGAUCUGUAAACCUCUUUCUAUUACAAAUAAGUUCUUAACUCAAGGCGAGCUAAAUGUGAGAGCACACUUAAUGUAAGGAGUAGCAACCUAUUCAGUGUUCUAAAAGCAUGUUAAACAUUUACACUAAAAUAUGGCAUAUGAACUUUAAACAUAAUGCACCCUUUGAUCUAUAGAAUUUAGCAUCCUAAAUCCUAAUCAACAAACUAAGUAGAACUGUAGAACUAUGUAAUAGCUACAUCUGAAUUAUUGAUCAAAACUUCUCACAUGUAUGUAGCCAGUUGAAAGAGUGCAUAAAGUUGAUAAAAUAUAAACAAAAUCACAUAUGUUAGUCUUGUUUGAUGGUUAGGGUCCAUAUAAUAUUAUCUGAGUCUACAUCUAGUAGCAUUUUUGUUGUUUUGAUGGUCUUGCUUGUGUUUGAAUUCAAAUUGAGAUGUGAUGGCACACCGUCAGCAUUUUACAUGUAUGUGCUAACUCUGCAUUGCAUUUGCCGUGGAGCAUUUGUAGAAUUUAAACUUCAUGAUUUGUUAUUCAAAUUUUGAACGAUGAUAUUGGGUAGACUAUAAUUUUGUGAUUUUAAAAAUGAUUAGCCCAAAAUAUUAACAAACUGAUGUGUUUUUUAGUUAGCUUAUUAUGAGCUUUUCUGAAUCUGAAAAUACAAAAAUACAGGUAUGCACACAUACACAAAUUUAAGUAUAGUACUAGAAUACUACUACGUUUUAUAGUCUAAUUCUAAUGAUGUUAUGUGAGCUAAGAAGUACAAUAACAAAUUUGAGAUACAAGUCCCCUGCAAGUGUGUUGACGAAAAACUUAGUUUACUGGUAAGAUGUGUUUCUCCUUCAAUUAAUUAAUGAGAUUUGAGUAACGAUGAUAAAUGGAUUAUUAUUAUUAUUAUUAUUAUUAUUAUUAUUAUUAUUAUUCCUUUUA